rnacentral:lncRNA from 1 species
CUAAGGUUCCUACUGAUGUACCUGCUGUAGCCUGUAGACAAUGAAGUUCUUUCUUUCUUGUGAUUAUUUAUUUUAGGGUGAAUCAGGUAAAGCAGGACAAGCAGGUCCCACAGGCCCAGCCGGAGAUCCCGGUUUGUCUGGACCCCCAGGACCACCAGGGAAGGGGAAAGAGGGGCAAAAUGGGGAGCCUGGACCACAGGGAAUUCAAGGACCCCCAGGGCUAAAGGGCCAGUCCGGGUCACGAGGAGAAGCAGGGUCACCGGGGGACAGGGGUUCUGCAGGAGAAGGCAAAGUGGGACAAUCGGUACGAGCAUCAGUGUUAUCUUCAUUUCAUUAUUUCACCUCGCAGUUAUUAUCAGUCCGUUAAAUUGCCAGCUAUCAUCGGGAGCUCA